rnacentral:rRNA from 1 species
GAUGAACGCUGGCGGCGUGCCUAAUACAUGCAAGUCGAGCGAACGGACGAGAAGCUUGCUUCUCUGAUGUUAGCGGCGGACGGGUGAGUAACACGUGGAUAACCUACCUAUAAGACUGGGAUAACUUCGGGAAACCGGAGCUAAUACCGGAUGAUAUUUUGAACCGCAUGGUUCAAAAGUGAAAGACGGUCUUUCUGUCACUUAUAGAUGGAUCCGCGCUGCAUUAGCUAGUUGGUAAGGUAACGGCUUACCAAGGCAACGAUGCAUAGCCGACCUGAGAGGGGGAUCGGCCACACUGGAACUGAGACACGGUCAAGACUCCUACGGGAGGCAGCAGUAGGGAAUAUGCCGCAAUGGGCGAAAGCCUGACGGAGCAACGCCGCGUGAGUGAUGAAGGUCUUCGGAUCGUAAAACUCUGUUAUUAGGGAAGAACAUAUGUGUAAGUAACUGUGCACAUCUUGACGGUACCUAAUCAGAAAGCAACGGCUAACUACGUG